rnacentral:rRNA from 1 species
CCUACGGGAGGCAGCAGUGAGGAAUAUUGGUCAAUGGACGAGAGUCUGAACCAGCCAAGUAGCGUGAAGGAUGACUGCCCUAUGGGUUGUAAACUUCUUUUAUAAAGGAAUAAAACGAGGCACGUGUGCCUUUUUGCAUGUACUUUAUGAAUAAGGAUCGGCUAACUCCGUGCCAGCAGCCGCGGUAAUACGGAGGAUCCGAGCGUUAUCCGGAUUUAUUGGGUUUAAAGGGAGCGUAGGUGGGUUGUUAAGUCAGUGGUGAAAGUUUGCGGCUCAACCGUAAAAUUGCAAUUGAUACUGUCAGUCUUGAGUACAGUUGAGGUAAGCGGAAUUCGUGGUGUAGCGGUGAAAUGCUUAGAGAUCACGCAGAACCCCGAUUGCGAAGGCAGCUUACUAAGCUGUGACUGACAUUGAUGCUCGAAAGUGUGGGGAUCAAACAGGAUUAGAUACCCGUGUAGUC